GACGAACGCUGGCGGCGCGCCUAACACAUGCAAGUCGAACGAGCGAGAGAGAGCUUGCUUUCUCGAGCGAGUGGCGAACGGGUGAGUAACGCGUGAGGAACCUGCCUCAAAGAGGGGGACAACAGUUGGAAACGACUGCUAAUACCGCAUAAGCCCACGGGUCGGCAUCGACCAGAGGGAAAAGGAGCAAUCCGCUUUGAGAUGGCCUCGCGUCCGAUUAGCUAGUUGGUGAGGUAACGGCCCACCAAGGCGACGAUCGGUAGCCGGACUGAGAGGUUGAACGGCCACAUUGGGACUGAGACACGGCCCAGACUCCUACGGGAGGCAGCAGUGGGGAAUAUUGCACAAUGGGGGAAACCCUGAUGCAGCGACGCCGCGUGGAGGAAGAAGGUCUUCGGAUUGUAAACUCCUGUUGUUGAGGAAGAUAAUGACGGUACUCAACAAGGAAGUGACGGCUAACUACGUGCCAGCAGCCGCGGUAAAACGUAGGUCACAAGCGUUGUCCGGAAUUACUGGGUGUAAAGGGAGCGCAGGCGGGAAGACAAGUUGGAAGUGAAAUCUAUGGGCUCAACCCAUAAACUGCUUUCAAAACUGUUUUUCUUGAGUAGUGCAGAGGUAGGCGGAAUUCCCGGUGUAGCGGUGGAAUGCGUAGAUAUCGGGAGGAACACCAGUGGCGAAGGCGGCCUACUGGGCACCAACUGACGCUGAGGCUCGAAAGUGUGGGUAGCAAACAGGAUUAGAUACCCUGGUAGUCCACACCGUAAACGAUGAUUACUAGGUGUUGGAGGAUUGACCCCUUCAGUGCCGCAGUUAACACAAUAAGUAAUCCACCUGGGGAGUACGACCGCAAGGUUGAAACUCAAAGGAAUUGACGGGGGCCCGCACAAGCAGUGGAGUAUGUGGUUUAAUUCGACGCAACGCGAAGAACCUUACCAAGCCUUGACAUCCCUUGACGAACAUAGAAAUAUGUUUUCUCUUCGGAGCAAGGAGACAGGUGGUGCAUGGUUGUCGUCAGCUCGUGUCGUGAGAUGUUGGGUUAAGUCCCGCAACGAGCGCAACCCUUACUGUCAGUUACUACGCAAGAGGACUCUGGCAGGACUGCCGUUGACAAAACGGAGGAAGGUGGGGAUGACGUCAAAUCAUCAUGCCCUUUAUGACUUGGGCUACACACGUACUACAAUGGCGUUAAACAAAGAGAAGCAAGACCGCGAGGUGGAGCAAAACUCAGAAACAACGUCCCAGUUCGGACUGCAGGCUGCAACUCGCCUGCACGAAGUCGGAAUUGCUAGUAAUCGUGGAUCAGCAUGCCACGGUGAAUACGUUCCCGGGCCUU
rnacentral:rRNA from 1 species